CAGCCGCCACGGGAAUACGUAGGGUGCGAGCGUUAAUCGGAAUUACUGGGCGUAAAGCGUGCGCAGGCGGUUAUAUAAGACAGAUGUGAAAUCCCCGGGCUCAACCUGGGACCUGCAUUUGUGACUGUAUAGCUAGAGUACGGUAGAGGGGGAUGGAAUUCCGCGUGUAGCAGUGAAAUGCGUAGAUAUGCGGAGGAACACCGAUGGCGAAGGCAAUCCCCUGGACCUGUACUGACGCUCAUGCACGAAAGCGUGGGGAGCAAACAGGAUUAGAUACCCCCGUAGUCCCUGUCUCUUAUAC
rnacentral:rRNA from 1 species